CCUACGGGCGGCAGCAGUGAGGAAUAUUGGUCAAUGGACGAGAGUCUGAACCAGUCAAGUCGCGUGAAGGAUGACUGCCCUAUGGGUUGUAAACUUCUUUUAUAUGGGAAUAAAAUGUUCCACGUGUGGGAUUUUGUAUGUACCAUAUGAAUAAGGAUCGGCUAACUCCGUGCCAGCAGCCGCGGUAAUACGGAGGAUCCGAGCGUUAUCCGGAUUUAUUGGGUUUAAAGGGAGCGUAGGUGGAUUGUUAAGUCAGUUGUGAAAGUUUGCGGCUCAACCGUAAAAUUGCAGUUGAAACUGGCAGUCUUGAGUGCAGUAGAGGUGGGCGGAAUUCGUGGUGUAGCGGUGAAAUGCUUAGAUAUCACGAAGAACUCCGAUUGCGAAGGCAGUUCACUGGACUGCAACUGACACUGAGGCUCGAAAGUGUGGGUAUCAAACAGGAUUAGAUACCCCAGUAGUC
rnacentral:rRNA from 1 species